rnacentral:rRNA from 1 species
GUCGAGAAUAAUUCACAAUGGGGGAAACCCUGAUGGUGCAACGCCGCGUGGAGGAUGAAGGUCUUCGGAUUGUAAACUCCUGUCAUCUGGGAGUAAGACCUGACGGUGAAUAGCCGGCAGGGUUGAUAGUACCAGAAGAGGAAGGGACGGCUAACUUCGUGCCAGCAGCCGCGGUAAUACGAAGGUCCCAAGCGUUGUUCGGAAUCACUGGGCGUAAAGGGAGCGUAGGCGGCGUGGUAAGUCAGAUGUGAAAUCCCGGGGCUCAACCCCGGAACUGCAUCCGAUACUGCCAUGCUUGAGGGUUGGAGAGGUAGCUGGAAUUCUCGGUGUAGCAGUGAAAUGCGUGGAUAUCGAGAGGAACACUCGUGGCGAAGGCGAGCUACUGGACAACAUCUGACGCUGAGGCUCGAAGGCCAGGGGAGCAAAAGGGAUUAGAUACCCUUGUAGUCC